CAGCCGCCGCGGUAAUACGAAGGGUGCAAGCGUUAAUCGGAAUUACUGGGCGUAAAGCGUGCGUAGGCGGUUUGUUAAGUCUGUUGUGAAAUCCCCGGGCUCAACCUGGGAAUGGCAAUGGAUACUGGCAAGCUAGAGUGUGUCAGAGGAUGGUGGAAUUCCCGGUGUAGCGGUGAAAUGCGUAGAGAUCGGGAGGAACAUCAGUGGCGAAGGUGGCCAUCUGGGACAACACUGACGCUGGGGCACGAAAGCGUGGGGAGCAAACAGGAUUAGAUACCCCCGUAGUCCCUGUCUCUUAUAC
rnacentral:rRNA from 1 species